rnacentral:lncRNA from 1 species
CGCGUUAUACCUGUUGAGAUAUUUUAUGGCAUGCUAGAGUUUCAGAAAACCUAUCACUUAUUAUGCUAGUAGUUUUCAUUAUAAACUCUGGGGGUUAGUAUGUUCAUAACUCUUUUCGUAUUAUGUUUAUGUAUAUAAACUUGGUCCACUCACCUUUGUUUUGCGCCCCCUUUCAGGAUUUAGAAUUGAGACAUACGAUCCCGACGUCAACGCUUUCGAAUUGGUAUAUUCGAGUCCUCUCGGUGUAGGACCUACACCCUUUUAUUUAUUAAAUUUUACAUUAAUUCUUUUAUAACUCUAGUUAGUUGUAUGCUAUGAACACGUUCCUAAAUUAUUAAUUCAUUGUAUUUUAAAUUCAUAACCCUUAUUUAUUUCUUAUUCUUAGCUUUUGUAUCAAUUAAUGGCUUUCGUCACCCUCGGGUGUCGGCCAGCACGUGUCUAUCUUGGUAUUCAGGGAAUAUCAGGGUCGGGGCAUGUCAGAUUUGUAUCAGAGCGUGGUUUGUUUAGAGCAUACUUAGGAUUCUCUUCUAUUCUCGUAAAGUGUCAGUUUUGACUUCAUUUGGAUGUCAAGACUUCUAGAUUUGAUGCCAUUCAACGCAGUUGUGCAAACCUUUCUCUGUUUGAAUUGUCACCUUCUUGUUGAAAUUUAAGAAAUUAUGUUAGGAUUGUGCCUCAUUGGUGAUGUGUUUGAUUGUUGGACGACUUUCAACAUAGGACGAUACUCUACGGCAUGCAUUUCCUAGGAAUUGCGAGCGGAGUCGGCUCUAUAUCAAAAUCUUGGGAAACGGAAAAAAAAAAUCUUGGCGGUACAAAUUGGCUAAGACCAACUGGAGUUCUGAAACGAGGAUAUCACUCUGCGACAUGCGUUCCCUGGGAAUGGUAGGCAGAGUCAUAUCUCUUGGAAAAUUGCUCAAAACAUUCAAAGUGCGUACUAAAUAAGCGAGUAAGUGCUAGUGGUGACAACGAUUAGUAGGUAGUAGUUGGUGGAGCAAAUCAAUGUUCUCGGACUCGUUCCUACUGAGGAAAUUCAUGUGGAUCUUUAGAACAAUUCUUGGUGAUUGUUCUAUCAUAACCUUCUUGCUUAUUCCAAUAAUGAAGUUAAGUUCACUGACUUUUGACAGUCAGCUUGACAUCAAAUUCUACGAGCGUUGGCUUCGUUUACAUUAAUUGCUUUUCUUGGGAAACUCAUCGAUAGCAUACGCUAUUCUCACCAAUUUUUCAAAAAGAGUUGCGAUUCCUAUCGUUGUUGUGAUUGGAUUUAGAUGAUGAAGAUCCAGCCUUGUUUGGAUAAAGAGUCUCUCUUUGAAUUUCACCUGGGUCUAGUACUCAGUGGUAAACCCUAGCUUCUAGUUCUCGUACUUGUCGGUUCAAAUGAACUUAGCCUCUUACUUGUAGCCCAACUGACUAGUGCUUUUGUCCACUAAAUGUUCAGCCUUGUGAUUUUCAGAGUGAUGGUUUAAGACUCUACCACAUUCAUCAUUGUACGAAGAUCGAGCUUUACUCUGAACUUCUCUGGACUCAUUGAGCUUUGGGUUGCUCAAGGGCAUCACUUUAUGGUAGCCAAUUGUAUCACUACAUGCAUACAUAAGCUGCCUUGUAUCUUUCUUCUUCUAUGUUGAUUCAGAGGUUCUAUGUUUAAUUUUUGAACUUUGAAACAGCUCUCACAAAGUAUUGUGAAUUUUCGAAUUGUCUUUGGCCUAUUCAAAUCUUAUUGACAGUUCUUAACUAUUCUUGAGCUUAGACCUAUUUUCCUUUUUGGCUAAGAAACCAAUUAGCCUUACUGUGGUGGUUAACCAAAUAAUCAUAAACAGUGACUUCUAUUUCUGUAUCUUCACCUUCUCGACAUAGUUUCUCACUCAAUCAGUAAGGGAAUAAUGAUCGAUCGAUUCGACGAAUGCUUACGCCUAGUUUCAUAACGAUGCUAGUGAGAAUAUUUGGAGCAUAACCUUUUCGCAAUUUUACUAGUCUUAUCGAGAAUAUUUUCUUUUGGCUUGAGGUUUGAGCCGUCUCUUAGUAAAAGUUUGGUGAAGGUAGUAGUACUGGUGGUCAAUGGAUUGCAUCACGAAUCACUAUCUUCACGCAAGGAUGUUUAAUCACCAAUCACUUUCUUGCUACAAUUCAUAGCCAUCGCAUUGUACUCUAAUAGUCAUUUUCCAACGAUGUGUGUUCGUCUUAACACCUCUUCUCACAACUUCACUUAGGAUCCCUUGUUCGUGAAUACGCGGACAUCGAAGCACUCUUAGCAAAUUGAUUUGGUGCACUCAGGAAAGGUACGACAGCGCGAUCGAGACAAGAAUAGGAUGACCUUUACACUUCUCGCGAAAGGUGUGUACUCUCAUAGGGUUUUCAAGUUGAUCACUUUUGAGCCAUUCUUUCUACCAACAUUAACCUUGUUUGAUUAGAAAUCUACAACUAAGCAAAACUGGAAAGGUGGUUUGAGCUCUUAAGUAUGCUACUAUCAUGGUAGCCACUUCUCUUGAAUCCCAAAGUACCGUUGUCAAGUGGGUUCUUCAUUGGCAAAACCUUGGAGUAGUUGGUCACAUUUGGAAGAACUGAGGAGAAUAUAAUGUUUGGUGCUAGAUAAAGUUUUACGACGACAAUUUUUGUUUUGUUCGGUUUGGUGUAUGGCAUUUUUUACGACAUGGUACGAGAGUUUCCUACGGGCAACAUUGGUUGACAGAGGAGUAUUGUGGACUGAUAUUUGGAGGAUUGAAUUUACGACGUGUGGAAUUGUGCAUCCUCAGGAAAUUACUACUUGCUUAUCGAGACAACAAAUUUGUGGUCGAUAUUGCAGGCUGCAGACUAUGAUAUCGAUAGCUUAUUUGUUAGGUUCAUUAAGCUAGUGGGCAGGAAGACCUGUCUUCAGCAGUGGUUACAGGUUUAUUAUUGUUGGGGCUCGACCCAAAGACACAACUAUUCUCGGAGUACGUGACAUUUCGAAUUCUUGGGCAAGAUCCACUUUCAUUUCCGAUUUUGGAUUUUCAGUAUAAAUAAUUUAACUUCCGUUACUAGCUAUUUAUUUUGACGUUACAAAUGUUUUGGGGGAAGUAUUUCCGUUUUCAGUUUUAAGUUUAGCAUGAAUUUUCGACCUAUAUGUUUUUGCCUUUUUAUUUUGAUACUAUCGUGUUUUACGUAUGUAUUUUUGACCCUACGUCAAUAUAUGUUUUCGACUUUAUAUCUUUGUUUCUACUUUUACACUGAUGGGGAAGAAAGUAAGAGCUUGGGGGCAUGAUAGAGGAUUUUGCAAUCUGCUCGUGACGGUGUGGCAUAUUCUCUUUGAUGCACCCAGUCUGACUUGAUUUCUCUUUAUACAUAUACAUAUAUUCUUCUUCCUAUUUUUUUGAGUAUUUCAGUUUAGUAAGUGAUUUUAAAUUUCAAGGACGAAAUUUUUUCUUAAGGGGGGUAGAUUUUAACAACCCACUUCAAAAAUUAUGUACUAAAUUAUGAAAAUACCCUUGUGUGGAUAUUUUACCCAAGCCACUUUGCUUUCUUUCUUUACCUAUGAACUUUCUCCCCUUCCCAAGAACCCAUUCUCCCUCACAAUCCAUGUAAACCCCAUUGUUUAUUUCCCUCCUAUGACACCCUAUUCCUCGUGUUCACUCUCUCCCAUAUCUCGAGCUCCUUCUCUCCCUCAAGAUCUCUGCAACUCUUAGCUCUCUCUCUCUCCUCAACAAUAAUCUGUAACCUUUCUCUCUCUAAGCUCCGAGAAGGAACCCCCACCAUUUCUCUUGAUACUGACCAAAUCAACCCUAAAAAAUCUGAACCUCGAACCCUUGAGACAUGGGGAAUCCACCUAUGACGUUGUACAUAUCAUCGAUGCACCAUCGGGUGCUUUGCCAUUAACGUAGAGAGCUCCCUCAAACUAUAUCUCAUGUAUGAAUUAUUUCCCUCUUGGUUGUGUUAGUUUUAAUCUAUAUGUGAUGAGGAUGUCGAAAAUCUCUGGGGUUAAUCUCUCUGUUUAGAAUCUGUGCAUGCAUGUCAUUCCGGCGACAAAUUCCGGUGAAUGUCGUUGAGUUCGAAGCUAGGUGAUGACUGUCUUCUUGGGGUUUAGCUCAAUUUAGACUUUUAAAGUAUUGUUGGGCUAACCUAUACUUAAAUUUGUGGGUUUAACUCUUUGCAUGCACUCAUUCUCUUGGUCUUAGUUUUCGACGGUGAACCUGCUCUUUUUCUGGCGAGUUUGAAGGUGUUGGCACUCGAACUCGUUCGAACACUAUUCCAGGUAACUAGAUACCUAUUUGCUUGUGAGUUUGGGCUUGAGGCCGGCCUAUGUAAGUGUGUGUGUGUGUGUGUGUGUGUGUGUUGUAUGCAUGUAUGUACAGUGUGUGUUUGUGUGUGUGUGUGUGUGUAGGCUGUGUAUGUAUGUGGGCCAUGUGUGUGUGUGCAGGCCCCGUGUGUGUGCGCAAGCUGUGUGUGUGUGUGUACAGUGCAUGUGUGUAUACUGUGCAUGUGUGUAUGUAUGUGUGUUGUUUGUGGUACAUGCAUGUGUGUGAGUGUGGGUUUGGGUUUAAGCCCAAACCACCAUCUUUCACCCUACACCCUUUUAACCCAAAAACCUUAGGAUCCUAAACCCAUUAGACCUUAAUCCAUUCAAGCCCAAAUAUUUUAGAAAACCCUUUUAUUUAUUUAUUUAUUAUAUUUUUGUGCUUAUGUGAAGUUGCUAGUGGGGAUUUCCUUAAUCAUUUUCCCCACAACUCUGCUACUACGAAGUAUCUGUGAGUGGACCCUUUCUAAAAUUACAUGAUUUUAUAGUUCAAUUGCAUAAAUGAAUAGCAUCCCUUACAAGUUUAUGAAUUGAUUUUAUGUUGAGCAUGUUUAUUGAAAUGUUGAUUUUCGUCUCGUGCUUUUGGUGAGGAAUUAAUUAUUGGCCUAUUUUGAGCUAUAUUUUAAUAUAUCGUAUUUUCUAUGAAAACCAUGAACUGGUAGACUAUCUGAUGAAUGACGAUAGGAUACUAGAACAUGUUUUAGAAACCCCUCUUUAUAGUAUAGAUGAUGGAUGACUUUAUACUAUGAAGUGGUUAUUUACGAGAGGCGUAACUAUUUGUGCAUACCUAGUGGACACUAUGCCGCCUAGGACGAGGAUCUGGUGUUGGCAGUUAGGCUGGGAGAAAUAAUCCCUAACUACGAGCUGAGGGACACGGAGCAGGCUUUGGGCCGGGAGUUGGUAAUCUCUGGCUACGGGCGCAGAGACCACGGUGCUGGCAUAGGGCCGGGAGAUAUAUUUUUUUUCAGUGAUCUUACUAGCGGUACACCGCGCUUACGAGACAAUCUACGAGACAAUAAACGCGAUGAUUUAUAUGAUAUUUUCCGCGUUAUACCUGUUGAGAUAUUUUAUGGCAUGAGAGUUUCAAAAAACCUAUCACUUAUUAUGCUAGUAGUUUUCAUUAUAAACUCUGGGGGUUAGUAUGUUCAUAACUGUUUUCGUAUUAUGUUUAUGUAUAUAAACUUGGUCCACUCACCCUUGUUUUGCGCCCCCUUUCAGGAUUUAGAAUUGAGGCAUACGAUCCCGACG